CAAGAAAAGAUGGCAAAAAAGACGGAAUUAUUAGCGACGGCGCGAUCCCCGUCGCCAAAAAUGGUAUUUUGCUACGGCAAAAUAAACCGUCGCAAAAAAGUAGUUUUAGCGACGGCGUUUAACCGUCGGUAAUAAACUGCACAGGCGAGUAUUAAAAUCAGGAACUAUUAGCGACGGCAAGUGUUGAACCGUCGGGAAAAAAAAAAAUAUUUGAGACGGCAAAAGUUUGCUGUCGCAAAUACUCGGCCAUUUGCGACGGCAAAUUUCCGUCGCAAAAAAUGAUUAUUAAAACGGCGUCGUUUAUUAAUCGUUUUGUAUAAUUUGCGACGGUGUAAACCGUACCGUCGCAAAAAGUAAAAAACAAUUUUCCCCCCUCUUCCCUCUCAUCUUGUCGCUCGGUUCCAUCGCAAAAUCCCUAAAAUUGAUUUGAAGCACAAAAUCCCUAAAAUCCCUAGCGGUGUCCGAUAGAAAUCCCUCUCAUCUUGCCGCUCAAUUUUCCCCCAAAAUCCCCAAACCAGCGACGGGCGACCGGCGACGAACGGCGAAGGCCAGCGGUGGUGCGGUGGUGCGGCGACGACGAACGGCGAAGGGCUAGCGGCGGUGCUUCGACGACGACAGCAACUCAGAUAUUUCCUUAGUUGCAGUUUGCUUCUUGUGGAAUGCGGGUGUAUAAAGAUUAUAAUCAGCUUUUAUUUUUUGAACCCACGAAGGAAGCAAGACGAAAACUUUUGGUUUUGAUUUUGAUUUUGAUUUAUGUUAUUUAAAUUUGUGAACAAUAUUAUGUAUGUAUUAUGCGACAUUAUGUAGUGGUAUAAUUUUUAUUUCUGUAUUGUUAUUAAUGGAACAACAUUAUGAAUGUUCAUCAUGUGCCGUCUUUUGUUUAUAUAUGUAUUUAUAUUAUUAUGUAAUUUUUAGA